UCUAGUAGUAUGCGGUGCUUCGUAAAUGCAAGUCGAACGAUUAAAAGCUCUCUUCUGACAGUGCAUAUAGUGGCCCCUGGGUGAGUAACACGUAAAUAAUCUACCCUCGAGUGGGGAAUAACGUCCGGAAACGGACGCUAAUACCGCAUAAUGCAGCGGCACCGCAAGGUGACAGUUGUUAAAGAUUUAUUGCUUGAGGAGGAGUUUGCGGCAGAUUAUCUAGUUGGUAAGGUAAUGGCUUACCAAGGCUACCAUCUGUAUCCGGUCUAAGAGGACGGUCGGACACACUGACACUGAAUAACGGGUCAGACUCCUACGGGAGGCAGCAGUCGGGAAUUUUGGGCAAUGGGGGAAACCCUGACCCAGCAACGCCGCGUGAAGGAUGAAGUUUUUCGGAAUGUAAACUUCGAAAGAAUAGGAAGAAUUAAUGACGGUACUAUUUAUAAGGUCCGGCUAACUACUUGCCAGCAGCCGCGGUAAUACGUAGGGACCAAGCGUUGUUCGGAUUUACUGGGCGUAAAGGGCGCGUAGGCUGCGUGGUAAGUCAGUUGUGAAAUCUCCGAGCUUAACUCGGAACGGCCAACUGAUACUGCUGUGCUACAGUGCAGAAGGGGCAAUCAGAAUUCAUGAUGUAGCGGUGAAAUGCGUAGAUAUCAAGAGUAAUACCUGAGGUGAAGUCGGGUUGU
rnacentral:rRNA from 1 species